UACGUAGGCAGCGAGCGUUGUUCGGAAUUACUGGGCGUAAAGAGUGUGUAGGCGGUGCUCUAAGUUCGGUGUGAAAUCUCCCGGCUUAACUGGGAGGGUGCGCCGGAAACUGGGGUGCUCGAGCGUGGGAGAGGAAAGCGGAAUUCCUGGUGUAGCGGUGAAAUGCGUAGAUAUCAGGAGGAACACCUGCGGUGUAGACGGCUUUCUGGACCAUUGCUGACGCUGAGACACGAAAGCGUGGGUAGCAAACAGG
rnacentral:rRNA from 1 species